rnacentral:rRNA from 1 species
AACGAACGCUGGCGGCAGGCCUAACACAUGCAAGUCGAACGAGAAGCGUGCCUUCGGGUGCGUGGAAAGUGGCAGACGGGUGAGUAACGCGUGGGAACGUACCCUUUGGUUCGGAACAACUCCGGGAAACUGGAGCUAAUACCGGAUGUGCCCUUCGGGGGAAAGAUUUAUCGCCAAGGGAUCGGCCCGCGUCGGAUUAGCUUGUUGGUGGGGUAACGGCUUACCAAGGCUAUGAUCCGUAGCUGGUCUGAGAGGAUGAUCAGCCACACUGGGACUGAGACACGGCCCAGACUCCUACGGGAGGCAGCAGUGGGGAAUAUUGGACAAUGGGGGCAACCCUGAUCCAGCCAUGCCGCGUGUGUGAAGAAGGCUUUCGGGUUGUAAAGCACUUUCAGUAGGGAAGAAAAGCGUGGGGUUAAUACCCCCGCGUCUUGACGGUACCUACAGAAGAAGCACCGGCUAAUUCCGUG